GAUGAACGCUGGCGGCGUGCUUAACACAUGCAAGUCGAACGAAGCGCUUUAACGUAUCCCUUUCGGGGUGAAGUUGAAGUGACUGAGUGGCGGACGGGUGAGUAACGCGUGGGUAACCUGCCUCAUACAGGGGGAUAACAGUUGGAAACGACUGCUAAUACCGCAUAAGCGCACAGUAUCGCAUGAUACCGUGUGAAAAGAUUUAUCAGUAUGAGAUGGACCCGCGUCUGAUUAGCUAGUUGGUGAGGUAACGGCCCACCAAGGCGACGAUCAGUAGCCGGCUUGAGAGAGUGAACGGCCACAUUGGGACUGAGACACGGCCCAAACUCCUACGGGAGGCUG
rnacentral:rRNA from 1 species